UAGGAAUCUUCCCCAAUGGACGAAAGUCUGAGGGAGCGACGCCGCGUGAGGGAUGAAGGUUUUCGGAUCGUAAACCUCUGAAUCUGGGACGAAAGACCGCGAAGAGCGGAGAUGACGGUACCAGAGUAAUAGCACCGGCUAACUCCGUG
rnacentral:rRNA from 1 species